rnacentral:rRNA from 1 species
AACGUAGGUCCCGAGCGUUAUCCGGAUUUACUGGGCGUAAAGCGCGUGCAGGCGGCUCCGCAAGUCGGGCAUGAAAUCUCUCGGCUCAACCGGGAGAGGUUGUCCGAUACUGCGGGGCUUGAGGACGGAAGAGGCGGGUGGAAUUCCGCAUGUAGUGGUGAAAUGCGUAGAGAUGCGGAGGAACACCAGUGGCGAAAGCGGCCCGCUGGCCCGCUCCUGACGCUCAGGCACGAAAGCGUGGGGAGCAAACAGG